rnacentral:rRNA from 1 species
UACAGAGGGUGCAAGCGUUGUUCGGAAUCACUGGGCUUAAAGGGCGCGUAGGCGGGCUGCCAAGUCCGGGGUGAAAUCGUUCGGCCCAACCGGACAAGUGCCUUGGAUACUGGCGGUCUUGAGCGAGGUAGGGGCAGCUGGAACUUCCGGUGGAGCGGUGAAAUGCGUUGAUAUCGGAAGGAACGCCGGUGGCGAAAGCGAGCUGCUGGACCUUUUCUGACGCUGAGGCGCGAAAGCCAGGGGAGCAAACGGG